rnacentral:rRNA from 1 species
AUGCAUUACGUCCCUGCCCUUUGUACACACCGCCCGUCGCUACUACCGAUGAAUGCUCAGUGAGCGUCCGGACUGGCCCAGGGAGGUGGGCAACUACCACCCAGGGCCGGAAAGCUCUCCAAACUCGGUCAUUUAGAGGAAGUAAAAGUCGUAACAAGGUCUCCGUUGGUGAACCAGCGGAGGGAUCAUUACCGAGUUAUUCAACUCAUCAACCCUGUGAACAUACCUAAACGUUGCUUCGGCGGGAACAGACGGCCCCGUGAAACGGGCCGCCCCCGCCAGAGGACCCCUAACUCUGUUUCUAUAAUGUUUCUUCUGAGUAAAACAAGCAAAUAAAUUAAAACUUUCAACAACGGAUCUCUUGGCUCUGGCAUCGAUGAAGAACGCAGCGAAAUGCGAUAAGUAAUGUGAAUUGCAGAAUUCAGUGAAUCAUCGAAUCUUUGAACGCCCCCUCGCCCCCGCCAGUAUUCUGGCGGGCAUGCCUGUUCGAGCGUCAUUACAACCCUCAGGCCCCCGGGCCUGGCGUUGGGGAUCGGCGGAGCCCCCGUGGGCACACGCCGUCCCCCAAAUACAGUGGCGGUCCCGCCGCAGCUUCCAUCGCGUAGUAGCUAACACCUCGCGACUGGAGAGCGGCGCGGCCACGCCGUAAAACACCCAACUCUUCUGAAGUGCCUGAAUCAGGUAGAAUCCCCCAA